CUACGGGCUGCUCCAGUGGGGAAUAUUGGACAAUGGGGGAAACCCUGAUCCAGCAAUGCCGCGUGUGUGAAGAAGGCCUGCGGGUUGUAAAGCACUUUCGGUUGGGAGGACUGCUUCUAGCACUAAUAUUGUUGGAAGUUGACGUUACCUUCAGAAGAAGCACCGGCUAACUCCGUGGCCAGCAGCCGCGGUAAUACGGAGGGUGCAAGCGUUAAUCGGAAUUACUGGGCGUAAAGCGCGCGUAGGCGGCUAGAUCAGUCGGGUGUGAAAGCCCCGGGCUUAACCUGGGAACUGCAUCCGAUACUGUCUAGCUUGAGUACAGGAGAGGAGAGUGGAAUUCCACAUGUAGCGGUGAGAUGCGUAGAUAUGUGGAGGAACACCAAUGGCGAAGGCAGCUCUCUGGCCUGAUACUGACGCUGAGGUGCGAAAGCGUGGGGGGCAAACAGGAUUAGAUACCCGAGUAGUC
rnacentral:rRNA from 1 species